AUGAAUGCCCUGAUUUGGAACUGCCGGGGGGCGGGGAACCGUCGGACAGUUCGUGAGGUGUUGGCCCUCGCUAAAACCAACAUCCCCAAGCUUGUCUUUCUGUGUGAAACUUGGCAAGCUAGUGUGAAGAUGGAGAAGUUAAGAUGGAGAUUUGGGCUGAAGGGUUUCUAUGGAGUGUGUAAUUCAGGAUUGAGUGGUGGUAUUGCACUUUACUGGGAUGAAGCUUUGUUGGUCACUGUUCUGGAUGCAUGUCAAAGAUAUAUUGAUGUUAUGGUGGAGGACAAAAGUUCUGAUAAGAGGUGGCGUAUGACUUUUGUGUAUAGCGAACCAAGGAUGGAGAAUAAGCAUAUUAUGUGGGAUCAUCUGACACGCUUGAGAGGGGUCUCGCAGGAACCAUGGCUUGUGUGUGGUGAUUUCAACGAAGCCUUGUGGCAACAUAAGCAUAUGUCCAGAACGUUGCGAUCUGAAUCUCAAAUGGCUGCAUUUUGA
rnacentral:rRNA from 1 species